GUGAAGCUGGAAUCGCUAGUAAUCGCGGAUCAGCAUGCCGCGGUGAAUACGUUCCCGGGCCUUGUACACACCGCCCGUCACACCACGAGAGUUUGUAACACCCGAAGUCGGUGAGGUAACCUUUAUGGAGCCAGCCGCCGAAGGUGGGACAGAUGAUUGGGGUGAAGUCGUAACAAGGUAGCCGUAUCGGAAGGUGCGGCUGGAUCACCUCCUUUCUAAGGA
rnacentral:rRNA from 1 species